rnacentral:lncRNA from 1 species
GUCAAUCAUAAAUAAUAGACCCAUUAUCAUUCACCUUAAUGGGAGGCUACGAUCUAGUUAUCACCAUAACUAGCUCAUUUUAGGAACCUAAUAAUUUAGAGGAUUUAAUCGAUUUAGAUAAGAGAAGAAAAGAUCAAUCAGUAUACCACAAUCCUCUCACUGACUUCACCAAGUCACUAAAUCGGAUUAGGUCAUGCUGAUUGAAUUGGCACC